rnacentral:rRNA from 1 species
AGUGAACGCUGGCGGUAGGCCUAACACAUGCAAGUCGAACGGUAGCACAGUAAGAGCUUGCUCUUACGGGUGGCGAGUGGUGGACGGGUGAGGAAUACAUCGGAAUCUACUUUUUCGUGGGGGAUAACGUAGGGAAACUUACGCUAAUACCGCAUACGACCUACGGGUGAAAGCAGGGGAUCUUCGGACCUUGCGCGAUUGAAUGAGCCGAUGUCGGAUUAGCUAGUUGGCGGGGUAAAGGCCCACCAAGGCGACGAUCCGUAGCUGGUCUGAGAGGAUGAUCAGCCACACUGGAACUGAGACACGGUCCAGACUCCUACGGGAGGCAGCAGUGGGGAAUAUUGGACAAUGGGCGCAAGCCUGAUCCAGCCAUACCGCGUGGGUGAAGAAGGCCUUCGGGUUGUAAAGCCCUUUUGUUGGGAAAGAAAAGCAGCAGGUUAAUACCCCGCUGUUCUGACGGUACCCAAAGAAUAAGCACCGGCUAACUUCGUG